rnacentral:rRNA from 1 species
CUACGUGCCAGCAGCCGCGGUAAUACGGAAGGUCCGGGCGUUAUCCGGAUUUAUUGGGUUUAAAGGGAGCGUAGGCCGUGGAUUAAGCGUGUUGUGAAAUGCAGGUGCUCAACGUCUGCACUGCAGCGCGAACUGGUUCACUUGAGUGUGCGCAACGCAGGCGGAAUUCGUCGUGUAGCGGUGAAAUGCUUAGAUAUGACGAAGAACUCCGAUUGCGAAGGCAGCUUGCGGGAGCACAACUGACGCUGAAGCUCGAAAGUGCGGGUAUCGAACAGGAUUAGAUACCCUGGUAGUCCGCACGGUAAACGAUGGAUGCCCGUUGUCAGGCUGUUUCAGCCUGGUGACCAAGCGAAAGCAUUAAGCAUCCCACCUGGGGAGUACGCCGGCAACGGUGAAACUCAAAGGAAUUGACGGGGGCCCGCACAAGCGGAGGAACAUGUGGUUUAAUUCGAUGAUACGCGAGGAACCUUACCCGGGCUUGAA